UUUUUAAAAAUUCUAAUUUGAGGCUAUUAUUGUUUAUUUGAUUUGAUACAAUCCAGCUUAAUCACUAUAGACACAAUCACUUCAUAAUGCUCACCUUUCCAUCUAAUUUUGAAAGUGUAUGUCACAGCAACUAAACAGAAUUAAUAGAGACCUCAUGCACAUGUUAAACUUUUUACAUGUGGCCCAUUUAAAUCAGAAACAUUUCUCAUUUUAGUUCUAAUUCUAGUUAUGGUUAAUAAACCUGCCUAAUUUCUAAACAAAUUAAUUUAAGUAGAGUGAAACACACACUCUAAGUGCAUCAUGCAUUUUCUUUUUAAGACCUGUUUUUUAGGCCUCAUGUUUUGACCUUUUUGUCACCUGAAGGUCACAUUAAUAUAUUCAGCAAUAUAUGGAGAUUGAGAUUUUCAGAAUAAUUUAAAUUGGUGAAUUUGGUUUUUUCUCAUGAACAGUCUCCUCACACACGCACACAGAUAUUAGCCUCUCACUUCCUGUUUAAACUGUUUUGUUUACCAUUUGAAGGUGCUAUUUUUAACCCUCUCAGCAGCGGCCGUUCAGACACUUUCUUGUGUGCUGUUUCUCUCCUUGUUGAUAUUUUUGCAUUGAAUAAAACAAAUGUAAAUUCUCAUGCUCCCUUUGACAAAUACUCUUUGACCUCGAUUGAGAGAAAAGCACAACGCCUCUGAAGUCUCCAGCUCCCACAUGACCUCCACAACUGACUGCAGACUGUCUGAAUAAUAAUUCCUAUAACUUUAUCAGAAACCUAUUGAGCUGAUAAAUAAUUUAGAAGAAAAUAGAUUGUGAUCUGCUCAGUGUUCCUUAAUGCAGCACAUCAGACAGAACAGUGUUCGGUGAAUUAUAGUGGCGUGAAGGCGAUGGGAAACCGCGUAUUGUCUUUCUCACUGUCUGACUAAAUCCUGUACUGCACUGUGUUGAGAAAGCACACAUUUUUGAUUGAUAUCUGGCAGGAACCUUUGUGUGUGAAGAAAUUACUCGCCUACCAUCCACCUACGUGACUGGUGCUUUUUCACACAGCUUGCCUUCUUUCCUCUGCUUAUGCUGGAGACGCAAGGAAGGAGUAAUCGGUGACUGAUUUAGCCAGUGACUACAACAAAAAAUCCAAAUGCAUGUGGUGAAACAGACAUUUUUGCAUUCACUUAUUUUUUUAUAUAUAAAUAUUUAUAUAUUAGAUCUAAUGCACAUCCACAUGCACAGAAUUAAUGAUCAAAAGCAUCAGUAAAUAUACAUAAAAAGUACUCAACCCAUACAAAUGUCUCUCCUUACAGCAUUCGUCAGCGCAGGCUGAAACCGAGAGGCUUGUUGGCACUUGGAUCUUUAAAGAAUAACCACUAGGAGAAAUAGAGACAUUAAUCUCACUCACGCAUCAAUUAACAGGUCAAAGACUCGCUCGCCAGUAACCUGCGGAGCGGCGUGAAUAUUUCAUGGACAGGGACGCCGUGUUGUUGAAGGGUGUGAGUGCUGGCGUCAGGAGUUUCUCGUAACCUGCUAUUGUUUUGUUUUUUUGUUGGAAGUAUAUCCAUUGUGGUCAUAUUGCAGUAAAGCUCUUGUUGAUACUCUGCUUUAAAAAAAAAAAAGAAAAAGAGAAAAAAACCUCAAGCAAAACCAGACUCAAAAGUGAUAUGCAAUAUACAUGCACAUGGCUUUUUUUUAAAUAAGAAAAUACUAUUUCAGUCUUGUUUAAUUUGAUGUGUUACUUGCCAUUUCUUGUAAUUAUUUGUGAAUUUUACUAGCAAUUCCUGAGGGAAAAUUGUUUCUGCACCAUUUUUUCCAAUAGGUGUUUUAAUAAAAGUUUGUGUUCAUAAUAUUUUAGGUGCUAUAGCAAACAGGUGUUUUGUGUCAUAGCUAACUGUAUUGCUUAUCGGCAUCCAGGAUGCAUGUGUUUUAUAACGAUACUUAAAUUGCCCCACAUGAAGUUGUGUAUGUGUUUUUGGUCUGGUUGCAUGUGUACAUAGUCUCUGUGUGGGCCUGUGUGUGUAAGUAUCUAGGCACACUCGGCCACAGUGUCGGGUUUCCCAUCAGGCUUUUCUGGCUGUUAUCUCUUUAGUCACGAGCAGCACGUCCCCUCCAGCGCUGACAGUGAGACGGGUGCGAGCCUCGCCUUCACUCCUACUCAAACGCUUCCUCACACCGCGCUCAUUCCACACGAGUUAUUUUUUGAAUAAAUACUGUGCAGUUGAAUUAGCACUAGGUCAAGGUUAUUGCUCAGACUGAGGACUUUUAUAACUCGGGAG
ensembl:lncRNA